UACGUAGGGGGCAAGCGUUGUCCGGAAUCAUUGGGCGUAAAGCGCACGUAGGCGGAUCGUUAAGUCGGGGGUGAAAUCCUGGAGCUCAACUCCAGAACUGCCUUCGAUACUGGCGAUCUCGAGUCCGGAAGAGGUGAGUGGAACUCCUAGUGUAGAGGUGGAAUUCGUAGAUAUUAGGAAGAACACCAGUGGCGAAGGCGGCUCACUGGUCCGGUACUGACGCUGAGGUGCGAAAGCGUGGGGAGCAAACAGG
rnacentral:rRNA from 1 species